UCCUCCAAGGCUAAAUACUCCUGAUUGACCGAUAGUGAACCAGUACUGUGAAGGAAAGGCGAAAAGAACCCCGGUGAGGGGAGUGAAAUAGAACCUGAAACCCUGUACGUACAAGCAGUGGGAGCCCCAUCACUCAAACACAUUGAGUGGUGGAAAUGGCAAAAAAAGCACCAAAAAUAACACCGCACUUUAAAGUGCAGGGUAAGACGAGCGAAGCGAGUCAAACCCCAAGAAAGGCAGUGUGGUUGAGUGAUGGGGUGACUGCGUACCUUUUGUAUAAUGGGUCAGCGACUUAUAUUUUGUAGCGAGGUUAACUGAAUAAGGGAGCCGAAGGGAAACCGAGUCUUAACUGGGCGAAGAGUUGCAAGGUAUAGACCCGAAA
rnacentral:rRNA from 1 species